rnacentral:sRNA from 1 species
GGAAGGCGGGCCCUGCAGCUGGCUGGGCGGUUAGGAGGGCCCGGGGCCGAGACGAUGGCUGACCACAACCCUGACAGCGACCCCACGCCGCGCACGCUGCUGCGACGCGUGCUGGAUACAGCGGACCCGCGCACCCCGCGGCGACCCCGGAGUGCUCGGGCUGGAGCCCGGAGAGCCCUGCUUGAAAUGGCUUCCUCCAGGAGGUUGAGUGGCCAAACAAGGACGAUAGCCAGAGGGCGUUCCCGUGGAGCCAGGGUAAGUACCCAGCCCACUGACCCCAAAGGGCCCUGGCUGCCUCGGGGAGGGGGGUUGAGGUCUAGCUCUGCUCUGGAGCCCACCUUGAGGAAAUCUCAAGGCAAACGGACAGACUGGUUGCUUGGUGCUUUUGCGGAUAGUCUGUUGGCAGAUCGGCCCAUGUUCAGGCCAGUGGGCACUUGGAGGAACAGACACCUCGGACGCUGCUGAAGAACAUCCUACUAACUGCCCCGGAAUCUUCCAUCCUGAUGCCCGAGUCGGUAGUGAAGCCAGUGCCAGCACCGGAGGUGGUCCAACCCUCCAGACGAGAGAGCAGUUGUGGCAGCCUGGAGCUGCAACUUCCUGAGCUCGAGCCCCCCACAACCCUGGCUCCAGGUCUGCUGGCCCCUGGCAGGAGGAAACAGAGGCUGAGACUGUCGAUGUUUCAGCAGGGAGUGGACCAGGGGCUGUCUCUCUCCCAAGAGCCUCAAGGGAAUGCUGAUGCCUCUUCCCUCACCAGAUCCCUCAACCUGACCUUUGCCACACCUCUUCAGCCACAGUCAGUGCAGAGGCCUGGCUUGGCCCGCAGACCUCCUGCCCGCCGAGCUGUAGACGUGGGUGCCUUUUUGCGGGAUCUGCGAGAUACUUCCCUGGCUCCUCCAAGUAAGGUUGAGGUUUUCCCCUGCUGGCCUUUGGGGAAAGCUCUCCCCACUAUGACAGAUAGGAGGUGAUGCUGAGUCAGGGUUGCGCCCCUCUCGGUGGGGUCAAGGACAGCAAGCAACUCUGGUCAGUGGGUCUACAAGGAAUUUCUGCUUGCUUUCUACAGGGGGCCCCUUUCCUUCGUCCCUCGGUGUCUCCCAGGGCCCCAUAUCCUUAGACUAUAGGGCUGGAGGUUGGAAAGGGGUGUGGUGUGGUGGCCGAAACUUGUUGAAAGGGGCCAGGUUUCAGGAUCAGCUGGCCAAUUCAAACUGACCUGGGAGCCUGAUUGCAGAAAACAAGUUCACCAGAGUAAGAAGAGGGUUUGGGAAGAAGCUGCAGAACAAGCAGCGAAGAGGUAUUUUAAGUGGGCAGCUGGUGGGCAGGCAGCUGUGGGGGCCUGGGACUGCCGGGCAGAGGAACAGGAAGGUAAGCAAGGAGGGCUGUAGUCGAAAAGGCCUCGCGUGCUAGGUCGUCUUCUUUCUCUGAAGGCCACUCAGGGCGGACCCAUGCGGCCUACUGUCCAGGCCCUGGCAAUGCUGAGUAGCAGCCGGUGGGCCUGGAAUACGCUGAGAGCCAGCUGGCCCCUGAUCUCCAGGUGACAGCCUCAGAACCUGUUACUACUCUGCCCACAGACAUUGUGUUGGAGGACACCCAGCCAUUCUCUCAGCCCACGGUUGGCUCCCCUGAUGUGUAUCACUCCCUGCCCUGCAUGCCUCACACUGGGGCUGAAGACGCUGAGCAGGCUACUGGUCGCAAGACACAGAGCAGUGGGCCUGGGCUGCAGAACAAUAGUGAGUGUGUGGCACCGGUGGCCUGGAGCCAAACUUAGCUUGGGUGAGAGCUGACAAUGGUAGUUUUCCUUCUUCAAGCCCCUCUGUGCUCCUAGAGCACCCUGGCUGUGGCUGCCUCCUUCAUCCAAGAGCAGAGUCCAUGUUGGGCCAGGAGACUUCAGAUCCAUGUCCUGGUGCUGCCUCUGGCUUUGUCUUUCCUCAGUGAGCAGGGCUGGGUCUGCUAGUCCAUCUUUACCCUUCUCUGAGCUAUGCAGCCUUGGCCGGCUGCGUCUCCAGCCUGUAUUCUCUCCCCUUCACUCAGGCCCUGGGAAACCAGCCCAGUUUCUGGCAGGAGUGGCAGAGGAGGUCGAUGCCUUUGCUCUAAGCUUCCUGAGCACCAGCAGUGGUGUCUCUGGAGAAGAUGAAAUAGAGCCCUUACAUGAUGGAGUUGAAGAGGCAGAGAAAAAGAUGGAAAAAGAAGGUGUGAGUGUGAGUGAAAUGGAGGCAACAGGAGCACAAGGACCCAGCAGGGUAGAAGAGGCCAAGGGACACACAGACGUGACAGAAGCAGAGGGAUCCCAGGGGACUGCUGAGGCCGAGGGGCCAAGAGCAUCUUCAGGGGAUGAGGAUGCCUGUGGCAGGGAAGCAAGUCCAGAGUCGGCCUCCAGCACCCCUGAGUCUCUCCAGGCCAGGCGACAUCAUCAGUUUCUUGAGCCAGCCCCAAUGCCUGGUGCUGCAGUCUUAUCUUCAGAGCCUGCAGAGCCUCUGUUGGUCAGGCAUCCCCUUAGGCCCCGGACCACCGGCCCCAGGCCCCGGCAAGAUCCCCACAAGGCUGGACUGAGUCACUAUGUGAAACUCUUUAGCUUCUAUGCCAAGAUGCCCAUGGAGAGGAAGGCUCUUGAGAUGGUGGAGAAGUGCCUAGAUAAAUAUUUCCAGCAUCUUUGUGACGACCUGGAGGUAUUUGCUGCCCAUGCUGGCCGCAAGACUGUGAAGCCAGAGGACCUGGAGCUGCUGAUGCGGCGGCAGGGCCUGGUCACCGACCAAGUCUCACUGCAUGUGCUAGUGGAGCGGCACCUGCCACUGGAGUACCGGCAGCUGCUCAUCCCCUGUGCGUACGGUGGCAACUCUGUCUUCCCUGCCCAGUAGUGGCCAGGCUUCAACACUUUCCCUGUCCCCACCUGGGGCCUCUUGCCCCCACAUAUUUCUCCAGGUCUCCUCCCCACCCCCCCAGCAUCAAUAAAGUGUCAUAAACAGAA